GAUGAACGCUGGCGGCGUGCUUAACACAUGCAAGUCGAACGGGAAAUACUUCAUUGAGACUUCGGUGGAUUUGAUCUAUUUCUAGUGGCGGACGGGUGAGUAACGCGUGGGUAACCUGCCUUAUACAGGGGGAUAACAGUCAGAAAUGACUGCUAAUACCGCAUAAGCGCACAGGGCCGCAUGGCCCGGUGUGAAAAACUCCGGUGGUAUAAGAUGGACCCGCGUUGGAUUAGCUGGUUGGUGGGGUAACGGCCCACCAAGGCGACGAUCCAUAGCCGGCCUGAGAGGGUGAACGGCCACAUUGGGACUGAGACACGGCCCAGACUCCUACGGGAGGCAGCAGUGGGGAAUAUUGCACAAUGGGGGAAACCCUGAUGCAGCGACGCCGCGUGAAGGAAGAAGUAUCUCGGUAUGUAAACUUCUAUCAGCAGGGAAGAUAGUGACGGUACCUGACUAAGAAGCCCCGGCUAACUACGUGCCAGCAGCCGCGGUAAUACGUAGGGGGCAAGCGUUAUCCGGAUUUACUGGGUGUAAAGGGAGCGUAGACGGUGUGGCAAGUCUGAUGUGAAAGGCAUGGGCUCAACCUGUGGACUGCAUUGGAAACUGUCAUACUUGAGUGCCGGAGGGGUAAGCGGAAUUCCUAGUGUAGCGGUGAAAUGCGUAGAUAUUAGGAGGAACACCAGUGGCGAAGGCGGCUUACUGGACGGUAACUGACGUUGAGGCUCGAAAGCG
rnacentral:rRNA from 1 species